rnacentral:rRNA from 1 species
GGCGAACGCUGGCGGCAGGCCUAACACAUGCAAGUCGAACGAACUCUUCGGAGUUAGUGGCGGACGGGUGAGUAACACGUGGGAACGUGCCUUUUGGUUCGGAAUAACUCAGGGAAACUUGUGCUAAUACCGAAUGUGCCCUUCGGGGGAAAGAUUUAUCGCCAUUAGAGCGGCCCGCGUCUGAUUAGCUAGUUGGUGAGGUAACGGCUCACCAAGGCGACGAUCAGUAGCUGGUCUGAGAGGAUGACCAGCCACACUGGGACUGAGACACGGCCCAGACUCCUACGGGAGGCAGCAGUGGGGAAUCUUGCGCAAUGGGCGAAAGCCUGACGCAGCCAUGCCGCGUGAAUGAUGAAGGUCUUAGGAUUGUAAAAUUCUUUCAACGGGGACGAUAAUGACGGUACCCGGAGAAGAAGCCCCGGCUAACUUCGUG